rnacentral:rRNA from 1 species
GACGAACGCUGGCGGCGUGCUUAACACAUGCAAGUCGAACGCUGAAGCUCAGCUUUUGUUGGGUGGAUGAGUGGCGAACGGGUGAGUAACACGUGAGUAACCUGCCCCCUUCUUUGGGAUGACGCCCGGAAACGGGUGCUAAUACUGGAUAUUCACUGGUCUUCGCAUGGGGGUUGGUGGAAAGGGUUUUUCUGGUGGGGGAUGGGCUCGCGGCCUAUCAGCUUGUUGGUGGGGUGAUGGCCUACCAAGGCUUUGACGGGUAGCCGGCCUGAGAGGGUGACCGGUAACAUUGGGACUGAGAUACGGCCCAGACUCCUACGGGAGGCAGCAGUGGGGAAUAUUGCACAAUGGGCGCAAGCCUGAUGCAGCGACGCCGAGUGAGGGAUGGAGGCCUUCGGGUUGUGAACCUCUUUCGCUCAUGGUCAAGCCGCAACAAUGGUUGUGGUGAGGGUAGUGGGUAAAGAAGCGCCGGCUAACUACGUG